rnacentral:rRNA from 1 species
CCUACGGGAGGCAGCAGUGAGGAAUAUUGGUCAAUGGGCGCGAGCCUGAACCAGCCAAGUAGCGUGAAGGAUGAAUGCCCUACGGGUUGUAAACUUCUUUUAUAAAGGAAUAAAGUGAGGCCCGUGUGCCUUUUUGUAUUUACUUUAUGACUAAGGAUCGGCUAACUCCGUGCUAGCAGCCCCGUUACUACGGAGGAUCCGAGCGUUAUCCGGAUUUAUUGGGUUUAAAGUGAGCGUAGAUGGGUUGUUAAGUCAGUUGUGAAAGUUUGCGGCUCAACCGUAAGAUUGCAAUUGAUACUGGCAGGCUUGAGUACAGUUGAGGUAGGCGGAAUUCGUGGUGUAGCGGUGAAAUGCUUAGAUAUCACGAAGAACACCGAUUGCGAAGGCAGCUUACUAAACUGCUACUGACAUUGAUGCUCGAAAGUGUGGGUAUCAAACAGGAUUAGAUACCCUUGUAGUC